CUAGCAACAGUCAACCCAUUCAACCCAUUGACAUCACAGACGUUAUGGUACAGACAGAGAGAAAAACAUACAUUCAUACAUACUUACAUACAUACAUACAUACAUACUUUUACUUAUCGAUAGGGCAAGUCUUUCCACAAGAGACCCCAGGAAAAUCACACUGCAAUGGCUCAGACUUACAGCCUCACUGCCUGGUGGGACUGUGAAAUGGGAAGACAUUCUCAACCCAUCUGCAAUAAAUACCAAAAAUGUAAACACACUCCAAAACCCAGCUUGUUUAAGGUUGGCAUAGAUUGGUGAUUAUCUUUCCAGGAAUUCAGAAGAAUGAGAUCUGUUCCUAAACAAGCAACUGAUGGGACACAGAAAAAACAAUCUCCACUUCUGGGAUACAAAGACCAUUGUUCGUUGUUGUUCAGCUUAGCUUGAAAAAGGGAUUGUUGAAAUCCCCGAAUAAAUGUAUUGCUCCCAGCAUGUAAAUCUUUGCUUAUUACUCAUUGCUGCAUGCAAAUUUUCUCUCAACCAGGUGAGAUUACAAACGGGGUGUAUGUGUGUGUGUGUGUAUUGUUCAACGACUUCUCAUAUUUUAAAACUUUUGUGUGAAUAUUUCAGAAGGCAUUCAUCAGCUGAGAAUUUUUAAAAAUAAUGAUGAAAAACACAUUAGAGUUUUGAAUAAGAUGUUAUAGCUGUGCUCAAUAUCCUUUUUCAACCCCCAAAAUCUAGCUUAAAAGCCAGUCAGCCAUCCUGAGUGACAGAAUUCUGUGGUAUCAACAAGUCAAAG